UCCGUAGGGGGCAAUCGUUGUCCGGAAUUAUUGGGCGUAAAGCGCGCGCAGGCGGUCUCUUAAGUCUGAUGCGAAAGCCCACGGCUCAACCGUGGAGGGUCAUUGGAAACUGGGAGACUUGAGUGUAGGAGAGGAAAGUGGAAUUCCACGUGUAGCGGUGAAAUGCGUAGAGAUGUGGAGGAACACCAGUGGCGAAGGCGACUUUCUGGCCUAUAACUGACGCUGAGGUGCGAAAGCGUGGGGAGCAAACAGG
rnacentral:rRNA from 1 species